CUUCAGGCUCCCCAGCCACAGCGGCUCGCCGGCCGGCCGGCCCUGCCCGUAGGUGGCCAGCAGCGCCUGCGCCUC
rnacentral:antisense_RNA from 16 species